CACGUAGGCACCAAGCGUUGUCCGGAUUUACUGGGCGUAAAGCGCACGUAGGCGGCUCUUUAAGUCGGGGGUGAAAUCCUGGAGCUCAACUCCAGAACUGCCUUCGAUACUGAAGAGCUCGAGUCCGGGAGAGGUGAGUGGAACUGCGAGUGUAGAGGUGAAAUUCGUAGAUAUUCGCAAGAACACCAGUGGCGAAGGCGGCUCACUGGCCCGGUACUGACGCUGAGGUGCGAAAGCGUGGGGAGCAAACAGG
rnacentral:rRNA from 1 species